rnacentral:rRNA from 1 species
AUUGAACGCUGGCGGCAGGCCUAACACAUGCAAGUCGAACGAGUGGCGGACGGGUGAGUAAUGUCUGGGAAACUGCCCGAUGGAGGGGGAUAACUACUGGAAACGGUAGCUAAUACCGCAUACCAUCGGAUGUGCCCAGAUGGGAUUAGCUUGUAGGUGAGGUAACGGCUCACCUAGGCGACGAUCCCUAGCUGGUCUGAGAGGAUGACCAGCCAAUCUGGAACUGAGACACGGUCGAGACUCCGACGGUAGGCAUACGUGGGGAAGAUUGCACAAUGGGCGCAAGCAUGAUGCAGCCAGGGCGCGUGUAUGAAGAAGGGCUUCGUUUUGUAAAUUACUUUCAGCGGGGAGGCGUUACCCGCAGAAGAAGCACCGGCUAACUCCGUGCCAGCCGCCGCGGGAAUAC